rnacentral:tRNA from 1 species
GGCCGCGUAGCGCAAUGGUAGCGCGUCAGAUUUCGGCUCUGAAGGUUCCAGGUUCGACUCCUGGCGCGGUCG